rnacentral:sRNA from 1 species
CACUUUGCUUGAAUUGUUGGACUGAAAUUUGAGAGAAUCCUCUUUUGAAAAGAAUAGAAUUGGGUACAGUUCAGAUUUUUAGUUUCAGCUUAUCAGCCCCAUGGUUGAGCUACUUUCCCCUACAGAAUGAGUCAGCAGGGAGCUAAGAAGGGUUCCUAUAUCUGUAAAGGGUUGUAAAAAUAAAAACAAAACAACAAUGUGCUACAGAAGCCCGUAAAACCUAAAAUAUUUACAGAAAAACUUUGGGACCCCUGACAUAGGGUGUUCUGCAUUGCUGGUUGUUCCCAAGUGAGAGUUGCUGGCAAAUGAUAAAGCAGGCAGGAAAAAUGUUCCUGAAUGUUAAUUGAAGUUCACAUACAUUCUUGUUUUGAGAUGAGUUUUUUGGGGGUGGAGGAAAGGAGACGUGGAACAAAGUAGUAUGGCCACAACCAAACCAAAAAAGACCCCCUUUUUUUUUCCUAGGAGAAAUAAAGUGUAGUCCUUCUGAAAGCCCCUUAAUGGAAAAAAAGAAUAGCUUGAAAGAAGACCAUGAAGAAACAAAGUUGUCUGUUGGUGAUACUGAAAACAAGAAUCCUGUUUCUGAGGUAGGGCCUGCCACUGUGCCCCUCCAGGCUGUGGUGGAGGAGAGAACAGUCUCAUUCAAACUUGGAGAUUUGGAGGAAGCUCCAGAGAGAGAGAGGCUUCCCAGCGUGGACUUGAAAGAGGAAACCAGCAUAGAUAGCACCGUGAAUGGUGAGUUGGAAUUCCUGGUUUCACUUUUGUUACCUGCAGUGGUGAGGAGGCUUAUUGUUUUGGAUUUGAUGCUUUUUGUAUUGAAUGUCACCUUGGUGAUCUUGACUAGGUGCAGUGCAGUUGCCUAAUGGGAACCUUGUCCAGUUCAGUCAAGCCGUCAGCAACCAAAUAAACUCCAGUGGCCACUACCAGUAUCACACCGUGCAUAAGGAUUCCGGCCUGUACAAAGAGCUGCUCCAUAAAUUACAUCUUGCCAAGGUGGGAGAUUGCAUGGGAGACUCCGGUGACAAACCCUUAAGGCGCAAUAAUAGCUAUACUUCCUAUACCAUGGCAAUAUGUGGCAUGCCUCUGGAUUCAUUCCGUGCCAAAGAAGGUGAACAGAAGGGCGAAGAAAUGGAGAAGCUGACGUGGCCUAAUGCAGACUCCAAGAAGCGAAUUCGAAUGGACAGUUACACCAGUUAUUGCAAUGCUGUGUCUGACCUUCACGCAGCAUCUGAGAUAGACAUGAGUGUCAAGGCAGAGAUGGGUCUAGGUGACAGAAAAGGAAGUAAUGGCUCUCUAGAAGAAUGGUAUGACCAGGAUAAGCCUGAAGUCUCUCUCCUCUUCCAGUUCCUGCAGAUCCUUACAGCCUGCUUUGGGUCAUUCGCCCAUGGUGGCAAUGACGUAAGCAAUGCCAUUGGGCCUCUGGUUGCUUUAUAUUUGGUUUAUGACACAGGAGAUGUUUCUUCAAAAGUGGCAACACCAAUAUGGCUUCUACUCUAUGGUGGUGUUGGUAUCUGUGUUGGUCUGUGGGUUUGGGGAAGAAGAGUUAUCCAGACCAUGGGGAAGGAUCUGACACCGAUCACACCCUCUAGGUAAGUAGGUGGAGCAGGUUCUACAAAUGUCAGUACUCAUUUUUUUCAGAGAUAUAACACUGUCGAGUGCUAACACAAAUCUCUAAAGUAACCAAGUUUGUAUAAGUUCAUGAUGUUCUUAUUGUCAGUGUGUUCUUUUUAGAUUUUACUUGUCUGGCCCUUAAACAUUUUGGUCAGACAUUUUACCCAUUCAGCUCUGGUGGUCUCUGAAGAAAAUGACUUUUCUGAGAAAGCUGUGUAUGCUAAGAGCGGAUAGUUAUGUAUACUUGGCUUUUAUUUGUCUUUACUUGGGAGCUAAGACUCAAUGUUUACCAAACUCUUCAAAAUAAAAGUGCAAAUUUUAUUUAAUAGUGGGAUUCCAGAAAAACGUAAAACUUGAAACCUUUGAAUAAGGAAACUGGGCAUCUGUGGCCUGAUUUAAAUAAAGUAGAUCUUAGGGGUUAUAGUAAAUAAAGAUGUCAGUGGAGGUUUUGUGACUGAGUAGAACAAAGCAGGACUGUGUUAACUUGAGGUGUAGUGUUAGCUUCUCAAAAAAGUCAAACUCACUUCCUGACAAGAAUCCUUUUGUGUCUGUAGUGGCUUCAGUAUUGAACUGGCAUCUGCCCUCACUGUGGUGAUUGCAUCAAAUAUUGGCCUUCCCAUCAGCACAACACAUUGUAAAGUGGGCUCUGUUGUGUCUGUUGGCUGGCUCCGGUCCAAGAAGGCUGUUGACUGGCGUCUCUUUCGUAACAUUUUUAUGGCCUGGUUUGUCACAGUCCCCAUUUCUGGAGUUAUCAGUGCUGCCAUCAUGGCAAUCUUCAGAUAUGUCAUCCUCAGAAUGUGAAGCUGUUUGAGAUUAAAAUUUGUGUCAAUGUUUGGGACCACCUUAGGUAUUCCUGCUCCCCUGAAGAAUGAUUACAGUGUUAACAGAAGACUGACAAGAGUCUUUUUAUUUGGGAGCCAGAGGAGGGAAGUGUUACUUGUGCUAUAACUGCUUUUGUGCUAAAUAUGAAUUGUCUCAAAAUUAGCUGUGUAAAAUAGCCCGGGUUCCACUGGCUCCUGCUGAGGUCCCCUUUCCUUCUGGGCUGUGAAUUCCUGUACAUAUUUCUCUACUUUUUGUAUCAGGCUUCAAUUCCUUUAUGUUUUAAUGUUGUCUCUGCAGAUGACUUGUGAUUUUUUUUUCUUUUUUUUAAACCAUGCAGAGCUGUUUGACAGAGCAUGCUCUGCGUUGUUGGUUUCACCAGCUUCUGCCCUCACAUGCACAGGGAUUUAACAACAAAAAUAUAACUACAACUUCCCUUGUAGUCUCUUAUAUAAGUAGAGUCCUUGGUACUCUGCCCUCCUGUCAGUAGUGGCAGGAUCUAUUGGCAUAUUCGGGAGCUUCUUAGAGGGAUGAGGUUCUUUGAACACAGUGAAAAUUUAAAUUAGUAACUUUUUUGCAAGCAGUUUAUUGACUGUUAUUGCUAAGAAGAAGUAAGAAGGAAAAAGCCUUUUGUCAAUCUUGGUUAUUUCUUUAAGAUUUCUGGCAGUGUGGGAUGGAUGAAUGAAGUGGAAUGUGAACUUUGGGCAAGUUAAAUGGGACAGCCUUCCAUGUUCAUCUGUCUACCUCUUAACUGAAUAAAAAAGCCUACAGUUUUUAGAAAA